rnacentral:rRNA from 1 species
GACGAACGCUGGCGGCGUGCUUAACACAUGCAAGUCGAACGGAAAGGCCCUGCUUUUGUGGGGUGCUCGAGUGGCGAACGGGUGAGUAACACGUGAGUAACCUGCCCUUGACUUUGGGAUAACUUCAGGAAACUGGGGCUAAUACCGGAUAGGAGCUCCUGCUGCAUGGUGGGGUUUGGAAAGUUUCGGCGGUUGGGGAUGGACUCGCGGCUUAUCAGCUUGUUGGUGGGGUAGUGGCUUACCAAGGCUUUGACGGGUAGCCGGCCUGAGAGGGUGACCGGCCACAUUGGGACUGAGAUACGGCCCAGACUCCUACGGGAGGCAGCAGUGGGGAAUAUUGCACAAUGGGCGGAAGCCUGAUGCAGCAACGCCGCGUGCGGGAUGACGGCCUUCGGGUUGUAACCCGCUUUCGCCUGUGACGAAGCGUGAGUGACGGUAAUGGGUAAAGAAGCACCGGCUAACUACGUG